AACACUAUCAGUGUUGAAGCAGGGAUUGGUGGUGAGCAUAAUGGCAGAUCAGGACAUUAUGGAGCUACACAACGGCUUGACAAAUGGCACAAUUAGAUCAAACAGGAUGUUUUUGCAUAAAAAUCCAAAAUUUUCCCCAAAGCUGAAGAUGAAACUUAAUGGAAGGAUUUCUUUUUUUUGAUGAACAACAGGUAAACCAAUUUUGUAAUAAACAAACAUGUAACUUUUGUAGAAAAACAACAAAUAUAAACAAUUAUUUCCUAGCAUUUUGAGCUACACUUAAUAUAUAACCAAUAUACUGUAACAAUGUUGAAUGCAAUGCCUAUUGCAACAGACGGAGGGGAUCAUUGAUAGAAUUAAAAGAGUCACACAGAUUGACAUGACAGAAUUAAGUAAUACAUCCUACAUUUUGGAAGUACUUACUCCUGAGGUAACCCUAUUAAUCCUAAAAAAGACAGAGGGCUUCCACAGGUUCCAGGCAGAAACGGCUUUGCAAACAAAGGGACAUUUGGGAGCAUCCACAGAUUCUGAUCCUGAAUGGUUUUGAUGACAAAGGGAUGCCUCCUGUUGCUGCACCACACAUUGUGCUAGUGUCUGGACUUUUCUCUGUGCCCCCUUCCCUGUUAUCUUUAUCAAAUUUGUUGAAUAAUACAGUCUAAAAAGUCACUUUGCAAAACUAAUAUAGUUACUUAUUUUGUACAGCAUAACCUUUUGAGUUUACCUUAAUGCCACAAUGUGUAGCCCAUUUUUUACAAUCAUAUUUUUUUUUACAUUUUUUUCUCUUAAGG